rnacentral:rRNA from 1 species
AGUGAACGCUGGCGGUAGGCCUAACACAUGCAAGUCGAACGGCAGCACAGUAAGAGCUUGCUCUUACGGGUGGCGAGUGGCGGACGGGUGAGGAAUACAUCGGAAUCUACUUUUUCGUGGGGGAUAACGUAGGGAAACUUACGCUACUACCGCAUACGACCUACGGGAGAAAGCAGGGGAUCUUCGGACCUUGCGCGAUUGAAUGAGCCGAUGUCGGAUUAGCUAGUUGGCGGGGUAAAGGCCCACCAAGGCGACGAUCCGUAGCUGGUCUGAGAGGAUGAUCGGCCACACUGGAACUGAGACACGGUCCAGACUCCUACGGGAGGCAGCAGUGGGGAAUAUUGGACAAUGGGCGCAAGCCUGAUCCAGCCAUACCGCGUGGGUGAAGAAGGCCUUCGGGUUGUAAAGCCCUUUUGUUGGGAAAGAAAAGCAGCAGGUUAAUACCCCGCUGUUCUGACGGUACCCAAAGAAUAAGCACCGGCUAACUUCGUG